rnacentral:rRNA from 1 species
CUUGCACGCUGGCGGCAUGCUUUACACAUGCAAGUCGAACGGCAGCGCGGGCUUCGGCCUGGCGGCGAGUGGCGAACGGGUGAGUAAUGCAUCGGAACGUGCCCAGUAGUGGGGGAUAGCCCGGCGAAAGCCGGAUUAAUACCGCAUACGACCUGAGGGUGAAAGCGGGGGACCGAAAGGCCUCGCGCUAUUGGAGCGGCCGAUGUCGGAUUAGCUAGUUGGUGGGGUAAAGGCUUACCAAGGCGACGAUCCGUAGCUGGUCUGAGAGGACGACCAGCCACACUGGGACUGAGACACGGCCCAGACUCCUACGGGAGGCAGCAGUGGGGAAUUUUGGACAAUGGGGGCAACCCUGAUCCAGCCAUGCCGCGUGCGGGAAGAAGGCCUUCGGGUUGUAAACCGCUUUUGUUCGGGAAGAAAUCCUCUGGGCUAAUACCCCGGGGGGAUGACGGUACCGGAAGAAUAAGCACCGGCUAACUACGUG